AUUGAACGCUGGCGGCAGGCCUAACACAUGCAAGUCGAGCGGAUCGGCGGACGGGUGAGUAAUGCCUAGGAAUCUGCCUGGUCGUGGGGGAUAACGUCCGGUAACGGGCGCUAAUACCGCCUCCUCUCAGAUGAGCCUAGGUCGGAUUAGCUAGUGGGUGGGGUAAAGGCCUACCAAGGCGACGAUCCGUAACUGGUCUGAGAGGAUGAUCAGUCACACUGGAACGGAGACACGGUCCAGACGCCUACGGGAGGCAGCAGUGGGGAAUAUUGUACAAUGGGCGAAAGCCUGAUGCAGCCAUGACGCGUGUGUGAAGAAGGUCUUCGGAUUGUAAAGCACUUUAAGUUGGGAGGCGUUACCAACAGAAUAAGCACCGGCUAACUUCGUGCCAGCAGCCGCGGUAAUAC
rnacentral:rRNA from 1 species